AUUGAACGCUGGCGGCAGGCCUAACACAUGCAAGUCGAACGAGUGGCGGACGGGUGAGUAAUGUCUGGGAAACUGCCUGAUGGAGGGGGAUAACUAAGGGAAACGGUAGCUAAUACCGCAUACCAUCGGAUGUGCCCAGAUGGGAUUAGCUAGUAGGUGUGGUAACGGCUCACCUAGGCGACGAGCCCUAGCUGGUCUGAGAGGAUGACCAGCCACACUGGAACUGGGACACGGUCCAGCCUCCUACGGGAGGCAGCAGGGGGGUAUAUUGCACACUGGGCUCAAGCCUGAAGCAGCCAUGCAGCGUGUAUGAAGAAGGCCUUCGGGUUAAUAGUACUUUCAGCGGGGAGGCGUUACCCGCAGAAGAAGCACCGGCUAACUCCGUGCCAGCAGCCGCGGUAAUUC
rnacentral:rRNA from 1 species